GGUCUUGAUGGUAAGCAUUAAAUAUGACCCUCCUGAUGAUCCCUCAUCCUUUCAAUUAAUUCAUUUUGCCAUUUGAUUUGGUUUUAUGUGGAGAGUGUGAAGUUGGUUUUCUUCAUUUCAAUUGCAAUUGGGGGUUUUUCACUAGCAAAAUAAACCCUUGGAUUUAUCCUAUCUACUGACUGUGGGCACUUACUAAAUAUUUUUCUUUUUUCCCACUAUUGUAAUGAUCUUCAUACACGAACUAAUCUAAUUCUUCUUUAAGAGCAAUAUUUAUCUCCAAAUAAAUUCUAAUAUUAAAGAGGAUCCUUUAUUUGGUUUUGCUUCAUUCUGAUGUUUUGUUUGAUUUAGUG
rnacentral:misc_RNA from 1 species